ACAUAUAUUUCGGGGAUCCGAAAAGACAGCUCAUAACUUCCCCUCAACUCCGCCCUUUUUGUCUCUCCGCUGAAGCUAAAGGUCUUGUCAUUGAGAAAACCAAUUCUACGGAAGAUCCUGAGAUGGGAAGUGGGGACCAGAAGUGCCAGGAGCAGAAGAGACCUCAGGUGGUGGUGUCCACAAGAAAAGACUCUCAGCAGGGAACUCAGCUAUUUUUAAGGAGGAUUCGGAUAUUCUUUUCAGCUGAAAAGAAGCAGAUUCUGGGUCAUCAAGCUGGAGUCCAAGUCUGAAGAAACACAUGGACCAAACAAAUGAGGCAAAGUACCCAGAAGACACUAAUAGCCUUACAGUGCUGAAGAGCAUCUGAAGAAGACUCAUUAGAUGUGCUGGUUAAGAGGGCCCGACCCUGGAAACACUGGACCUGAACUCUGACUUACCAUCACAAUGCUAAGUGGCAACUUAAUUAAAAGUUGUUCAUGGUUAUGAGUCAUGUUAAAUCUACUGCUAAGGAUGAAGUGACCCCACAAUAAUGAAGAUGCAACUAUUCCAACUGGUUGAAAUCAGCACAGAAGUGACUGUGGACUGCUCAACCCAGAUCGGUACAUCUGCAACACAAUUCCUAUCCUAAGGCUCAGGAAAAUCAUGGAAGCGGGAGGUGGAAAAUUGUCAGAGCCAGAGAGAGCAGGAGUUAAAUAUCAAACAGCUCUAUAGAGAAGUGAUUAACCUACAAACAGUAUUUGAUAAAUUCAACACUCCUUCAUGACAAAAACCAAUCAGAAAAAUAUAACCAGAGGGGCCUUGAUGUGCUUCAUAAAGAUCAUGUGCGGAAUGUCUGCAGGGGGCAUCACAGUGGUGAAAGAAGAACUGCUUUCCUCAUGAGAUCAGGAAGACAACAGGGAAGGCGGCUGUUACCAGGAACAUUCGUAGUAGUUCUGGAAAUCCCAGCGGGAAAGAAGAGCAAAUAAGAGUCACAGCAAAUGGUAAGAAAGCAACUGUCUUUAAUUGAAGAACAUUUUAUUGUUGAAAUAGAACAUAUGGAAUCUCAAAACCAAACCAAAACAGAACCCUCCUAUGACUGUCAUAGGUAUAAAAAAAAAUGACCUGAUUCCUCUCAAUACCAACAAUAAACACAACGGAACUAAAAUUAAAAACAUAGCCCCAUUUUCAGUCUCUGUAAGAAAAUUAUUUAAUUUGUAUUUCCUAGAGUUUUACAUAAAUCCAAAUAUGCACUGAAUAUUCUGCUUUGAUAGAUUUUUUUCACUCGACACCCCCUGUGUGUGUGCAUGUGUGUUUGAGGGUGUGUGUGUGUGUGUGUGUGUGUGUGUGUGUGUGUGUGUGUGGGCAUACAUGCAUGUGGAGGACAGAGGUUAAUUGCACAUAUUGUCCUCUAUUGGUCCCGUCGCCCUUUUGAGACAGAGUCUCUCACUGAACCUGAAACACACCAUGCAGCUAGCCUAGCUAGCCAGCAAGCUGCAGGGAUUCUCUUGCCUGCCUUCUCAGCGCGAGGAUUACAGAAGCACACUGCUAUGCUUGGUUUUUAACAUGGGCACUGGGGAUCUAAACUAGGUCCAAAUGUUUGUGCAGCAAGAGCUCUGCAAGCAGCCAUCACUCCAGAUGCCAUGCUUAUUUUGACCUGUAAACUCUAUCAAUAAUUUGGUCUCACUUGGCAUUUCAUUAAUCACACAUGCCACAAUUUUAUUCAUUCAUCUGAUGAAUGUUUUGUUUCUACAUCUUGGCUAUGACAUAAAGUGUCUUGGCAUGUUGGUGCUGAUGUAUUUGUAUAAGAUCUGCUACAUUUAUUUUGGAUAAACACUUCGAAAUGGAGAUAGAUGGACAAGUGCCUAUUUAGGUAGAUAUUGGCUGAAAUAAAUGACCAAAGUAGUCAGCAUUUUGAUCUCGCUACAUGAACCUUUCAACCUUGUGAGUGGUUUUGAUUAUGUGCCAAGUAAGAGAUCAUCUACUAUAGCAAUGUACAUAUUUCUGUAAUUAAAACUUCACAGUACCACCUAAGCCAUUAUGUAUUUUUGCCUUAGUGAAAGAAUACAAUUCCAGUUGGUUCCCUUCAGUAUACUCCCCUCUCACCACAGCGCUUAACUUUUAGAAACUUCAGACUUCUAGAGCUCCUAUUCUUUAGAAUUUUAAGCUGAGGAUUCACAAAAUCUCAGUCUCAGAGGCCCAGAAAUCUCCAAAUGCAGGAAAACAGUCUCCAUUGCUAUAAAUAAAAACCUGAAACCUGUCACAGUUGGUUAAUAUCACCCACAUUCUGAGCCACGGACAGAGAGGAAAGAGGCAAAAACAAAACAUCUGUUGCUUUAUAUAGAAACUGAGCACAUGCCAGCAGAACAAACCAUCAGUGUUCAGGCACAUGGAGAUUUCCAGUGAUCACCCGUAAGAUCUGAGCCAGGGAGUCCCAUGUUCAGUCCUGGUUAGUGUCUGCAACACUCAGUACCAACUAGAGCAGAAAGAAAUCAGUGAGAGCUCCUUCUCUUCCUUUGCUAAGACCCACUACCCAGAGCUUGGAAAGUUGCCCAAUUGAUCAGCAUCACUGAGGGGAAGGUGCGCAUGAAGAGUGCCUGGUAAUUAUCAACUGCCCAUGUCCCAGCUCAGCAAAUCCUGGAGCACUACCUAUGCACUUGGUAGUGUGCAUAGUCUGAUGACCAAAGUUGAUGUGUAAGCAGCUGCACAUACAGAGGAUACAUACAUACAUACAUACAUACAUACAUACAUACAUACAUACAUACAUUGGAGGAUGUUCCAACACCAUUCCAUCCCAUUCAAGGAUGUUUCUGGUCUGAAUUCUAUACAUAUUAGCCAUGGAGCCUGAAUGACUAGACCAUAAAGUAGAGUAGAAGCCCUUCUGCUAAUCCAUUGCUUCAUAAAUGAUAAGGCCAGUGUGCCUAUUAUAGUAGGCUGCCCAGUGUAGUGCAUCUGUGCGUUUGAAAAUCAUACUUCGAAACUCAGAUCUGUGAAGCAAGGGUCAAAAAAGAGACAAGAAGACAGUGUUGGAACGCCAAUCUGGACAAAGGUGGAAGGACUAAAAGUAACAGAGCAAUGCAGGGGAGAAAAUAUUUAAAAUCAACUUGCAAAACAAGGGGGGCAAAGGUCACUCCUUGACUGCAGCUUUGCCAUUUGCAUUUACAUUAAGAAAAGCGUGACCUAAGCAAACUGGUGUCAUGGAAUGUGCUGGAGACAAGACUGUCAGGUGUCAGAAGAUGAUCACUUGUUUUCCUAGAAUGUGUGAAAAAAGUCAAGGAUAUUAAAUCGAAGCAGGAAUGUGAACAUCCACUACGUAGGAACCUCUUAAGGAACAGAAACCGCCAAAAUAUUCAAAUAAACACGCUCGUCCUUGUCCAAUUCCAUCUUCUCAGAACAGAACCCAACUUUGGACAAGGACCAGCAAAGUGAAAUAUCUUUAAAAGUAUAAAGGCAGGACUGGCUAGGGAUGUAGCUCAGUGGUCCAGCACUUAUCUACACACACACACACACAGACACACACACACACACACACACACACACACACACACACACACAGGUACACGAUGGGGGCGGAUAUGAUUAAAGUUAAAUAUUCUUCAUAAAACAAAACUGGUGUUAAGGAGUUUUCUGGGUUUUGUUUGUUUUCUCUUGCUUCAUUGGUUAACGGCUGAUUUUGUUUUUGUUAAACAGGGGUCUAGCUAUAUAGUCCAGGCUGGACUUGGUUGGACCGACUCUGUAGCCCAGGCUGAUCUGGAACUCACUUCACUUUUUCUGCCUCAUUCUGCUGCUGAGUGGUGGUUAGAGAUGUGUACCACCAUACCCCACACGAAUACGUUUUUAUUGGUGUUCUCAGAGUAUCUGGGGUUAGAAAGAGGUGUUUCCCGAGCCUUUGCACUCUUUCUGUAUUUUGUUCUUUAAGUGAUCAUUUAGAAGGGAAAUGGGUCUUUAGUGUUUGGACAAAAUAGCCAAGGUUCACAAAUGACACUGAUCUUUGGCCACCUAAGAACUAAUGAAAACUAGGACUCUGUGGAGAAAGAAAGUAGGGAGGAUUCUUGGGUGAGGAGUCAGCAGAAUGUUUCAGAAGCGCCCGGGCAUUUGGGUGAGAUUUGAACUAGAUAUUGAAAAACAAUGUGGUCAUUCUUUAGACUUAAAAUAGAACUACCACUUGAUCCAGCAGUCUCACUGCUGGAAAGAAAUAAAAUCAAUAUGCUGGAGAAGCUUCUGAACUCACAUGAUUUUUCAAAAAUAAAUUUUAUAAACUUUAUUAUAAAAAAACUAAUAAAAACCCAGCACACUUAAAUUCCCUAGAACCAAGUUCUACAUACCUCGACAGACAUCCAUACAGUUAGAAUAACCACUUGGAGCAUGUGCUGUGUAACACAUCUAUGCUUACGGUAGCUUUAUUCACAACAGCCAAGAAAUGGAUAGUUAGAGUUCAUCGACCAAUGAAUGAAUAUGGAGUAGAGCAAAGGAGGGCUGAGAAGGGGCUAAUCUUUGGUUACCAAGUUAUAGCCAUGAGGAAAAGGUUCUGAUAUGCUAUUACAUAGUGGGGUGAUUGAUGUGUGUGCAUGCACAUGUCUGUGUGCAUGUGCGUGUGUGUCUGUGUGUGUGUGUGUGGUGUUACUGAUAUUGUUAUUUAUAUUGUUUUAUUUAUUUUGUUAUUUAUAUUGUUUUACCACAAAUAAGUAAUGUUUGAAUAGAUGGGUAUAUUUGACGUGAUUUAAAAAUCGUACAAAACACGCACAUUUAGGAACAUCACAUCGCACACCAUUAAUCCAUUAAUAUGUAUAGUUUACAUUUUUCAUCUGUCAGUUAAAGAAAAUUUAAUUUAAAUUUAAAAAUUACUUUAAAACGAACAAUAGUUCAGGUGCCCAAGAUGUUAAAAAAAAUAAGUGCUGACUGGGUGCUUAGCCCUCAGAUAGGAUGUUUAUUCCACCCCUCUGAGGCUCAGGAAACAUUGCCAAAGGAGGGCGUGAAAACCUUGUAAGAGCUGAGAGAGAGGGGAGAGCGCCUGCCGUGACAGCCCAUCUUCUAGGCAGGACAUGGCUGAGGCAACCAUCAAGUAAAGCAGCUGAACUACUAGCACUGGGCCAGCAUGAAAUUGUCCAGGCCAACCGUCGGCCACGAGUAGGGGAGGGGUUCAGGGCCUUUGUAGGUGAACUGUUGGUUGCUGACAGAUUAUAGAAGGGGGGGAGGGUGGCAUCACUGCCUUCAGUUGUGUACACACUGGUGAACUCACCAGGUUCCAGUGGACAGCUACAAAGCUGUGGUCACAGAGUCGGCCCUGGUUGAGCUCCUAGGGGGUCCCAAAGCAAUCCAGUCGUGAGUGUGGAGAAGAGAUUCUCAGGGAACACGGAAGGUGACGGAGAUGGGAGGGAGAUAAUACAGGGCGGAAGAGGCUAAUAAUCAGAAUGUAUUGCACACGCAUAUGAAAUUGUCAAGGAACAUCAAUAAAAAAAGAAUGUGAAAAAACGUGCUGAAUAAAAGCCGGAGUUAAGUGCCGUGGACAUUUCUGUAGAACGCUAUUACAGGGUAUUGCAUCUGCAGGGAGCUGAUGCUAGACAUUACGUAAGGAUACGCUGGCUUUAGAUCAGAAAAGAAAUAGACUUUGGAGUUAUUUGGCAAAUUCAAUUUAACUCUACUAUAUUUGAUUACAUUCUCAAACAUUUUAAGUCUGGCUUUUGGAUAAAGAAUAGCACCCUGCCACCACUUUGAGUUCAGGAACCGUUCAUUUGGAGGAAAAGAGAGAGGCAGGUGGAAGUACAAAUGUCACCUAAAGCAUAGCCAGCAGGACUUGGAGGACACUGAUGUGUGUGUGUGUGUGUGUGUGUGUGUGUGUGUGUGUGUGUGUGUGUGUGUGUGUGUGAAAUGGUUCCUUAGUUUGCCUCUGGAUAGAAAUUCAGCUCUAAGGGCAGUCAAGGCAGCAACAGGCUUGCAGGUUUGGUGGAGGGGCAGGGCAAGCUGUCCAUGCUCUGUGGGGUGUGUUCGCAGGCUGAUCCAGAGAGGAAUGAGGGAGGGUCUGAGGCAGGCUCCUUCAGCCUCUUAAGCUUACUUAUACAAGCAUUAACUUCCCUCACUUGUAAGAGGAAAACAAACACUCUUGUUCCCAUCUCUGCUUUUAAAUUAGGGCUAAUAAACCCACUCGUCGUGAUUGCAAUCUAUCCAGUUUCCAAAUUCCUUGGUCAAGAAUCAAUUAGCAUGAGUCAUUUUGAGACAGUGCUGCUAUGUAUUCCUGGGGCAGAGGCUGUAUUACUUCUUUCCUGAACUUGCUAAUGUCUUCAGCCUGAAACAAAUUCUAUUUUCUAAGUCUGAACAUUAUUGGACAUGGUUCUGCAAUUCUACUUUUCCAGUGACGUGACUUGAUGUGUAAAGGCACUUAGCUGUGCGAUGGGGCUGCUAAAUGCUGUCUUCCUUGCAUGGCUACUUUCAUUGUGUGGCCUUCACAUGCCUCUCUGCAGCUACUUCCUCUUAUGAGAUGACCCGCUUUUUCCCCCUUCUCCCUAGUUUCUCAACAGUGGGAGACAAAAUCUGAACUGAGUCCAUCAUUUACCGCCAGGGAAGACCUUACUUUUUUUUUUCAAGCGCCUAACUAGUAAACUAGACUCUUCCAGAGACAGCUGUGGUGCUGCAGGAGAGGCCUUCUGCCAUUUUCUCCUGAUACCCACUUAUGUGAGCCAUGUUCUGUACUGACUCUCUUGCCGUUUGGAAGACAUUCCUCACAGAGGUCUGAGAUCUUCAGCAUGCCCACUGAAUACAAGCUUCUAACUUGUUCUGUCAGCUUCACCUUUCUCAGCCUUACCAGAGUCUUUGCCUUAUCAGAAACAGGUGGGUAAUGGAUUUAUAUACUGUUUGAAGUGCUUUUCAACGGGAUUACUGCCUUCUCCUUAGAGUGUAGAAUGCUUCAGAGCACGAUAGCUUAGUAUCACUGGACACUCAUUGCUGGGAGUCCAGGCAAAAGCUUCUCAAUUGAUCUUCAUUCUCAGUCUGCAGCCUGGAUCUACUCUAGGGACUGGAGAGGCAAUCUAGAAUAUUAAAGGUGGAAAAUCAGAAAAAAAUACAUGAAAAUAAUCUUACUAUCCUGAUCUGGAGGAUUAACACUGACCAGCAGUGAACUUUUGUUAUAAGCACUAUGCAUUUCUUAUUUGCUUACUCAGCUUGUAUUUUUGCAGACAAUACUGUCUCAGGUAAACAUUUCUCUUGAAUGCCAGUAUUAAAAUACUAUUUGCUUAUUUACACAGCAUCUUAAUUUAUUUCUCUCCUGGUACUUUCCUACCAUAUGCCACCAUGCUUUGUGCCUUCCCUCCUAUGAAGCUGUAUUCCUGAUGCUAUACAGGAGUGCUGCUCUCCACAACUCAUAUCGAGAGUCCCUCUCAUCCCGAGGGAUCUUGUAUGGUCAUUCCUAUUUGGAAGACAUCAUAUACCACACUAUCGCCCUGAAGAUUUGCUAUGACAUUAGCUCUUGGAAAUGGUAUGUGUUGAGCGAUGUUUCAUCCUUAGCUAGGUGAGCAACCAUGUUCACUUAUUCUUUAGUUUUCCACAUGUGUUUACUAUUGUAAAACUUAUUAGAAGAACCUGAGACCAAAGGUUUUGAAUGUUUAGCCCCUUACCUUGCCAUCUCCUACAAUGACGUUAGCUUACAUCACUUGCCUUUGCAUGUUUUUGCUGUGUGACCUAUAUUAGUCUGUAUUUGCAUAGCUAAUUGCUAGCACAAUGCUGUACUCAUGGAUUUAUGGAGAUGCUGAUGUAGACAGAUGUACUCACCCAAAAUUAUAGCACAUGAAGUUUUAUACAUGACUUAAUUCUUGGUAGCAAAUGACCAUGUUGCUAGCUUAUGUAUUUGCUAUUUUAUAUCUUCAGGCAUCAUUUUAGAGGAUAUUCUUCCUGCUAAAUAAGUAUAGUCUAAGACAGUGCACUGCAGUGCAUUGACCUCAGCAUCCAUGUGUGGUCACUGUGCUUCUUGAUUACAUCAUUCUCUCUCUCUCUCUCUCUCUCUCUCUCUCUCUCUCUCUCUCUCUCUCUCUGUCUCUCUCUGUCUCUUUCUCUCUCGUUCAUCAUAGUCAAUGGAACAGAAGGCUAUUGUGUGUAAAAUGCUAUACCAUCUAGGUUUGGAUUAGUACAUUCCGUGACAUUCAGUGAUAUCAUAUGACAGUGCAUUUUUUGAAUAUAUUUUUGUAUUAUGAAAUCAUACAUGAUCUGACAGCUGUAACAGGACCUGGCACUCUAAGUUGCUUUGACUCUUGUACAUUCCUUACAGUGUAGCAUACCUGACAAUUCUGUCUUGUCUAGGAUCCUUCUCCUGGGCUCCCAUAGCAACCUGUGCAUAUUCCCAUGUGGCCAUUGAUCCUGCUUCAGCAAAUGCAUUUACUAUAUAGAAUAUUACACGUUGGAUUGUGAACUGUUCAAAUUCAAAAAUGGCGUUCUGAUUUCUUUGGCUCACCUCACUGUCUUUUCUACCGUGGGUGCAGAGUCAUUAAAUAAACAGUGAACAGAGUCACCCUGAGUACCAUUUUCCUACUGAAAGAGGAAAACAUGAAGCAUUGUGGUGACUUUCAUCUUUCUCAUGGCCACAGCCUCUGUGGUUACCUUGCCUCUCUCAGAGUGAGUGGUCAGCAUAGCUGCCCACAGCAGUGCCACUGAAACUGGGCUGUGCUGUGGAAGCACUGGGAUGUCAGGCUGGCUUCCUGCUGUCCUUGAGGAUUCAGGGUAGCUUUGAGAUGAGUAGGCUCAACAGCUAAUCGGGCAGCAGCUGCUCUUGCCUGGAGGGAUAAGGGAGAGGCAUGGAGAGAGACGGGGAAGAGGGCCCACGAACACUGUGCUAGUCUUACCUGUGGAUACUUGAGUGUCUGACAGCAGGUACCUUUGAGAGAUUUUGCCACAACUGGCACUAGCAAAUCCUUGUAUUCUAUUAAAUAGUGAUAUUUAAACAGAUACCACAGAGAAUUUAGAUGCCUAUAGUUAGACUGUGCGGAAGAGGCAAAGGAGCGAGCUUGUGUCCUAAAUCAGGGUGGAUGGUAGAACCAGCUCUGACAAGGCUUCUAGGCACAGGGUAUACAAGGCAGCUUCAGCUUUACCAAGUCUGAUUCGAUUAAUUUCUUCAGUCAACUUCAUGCACUCUGGCCACAGGAUAAAUCAAGCUUCUACCCCUGAUGCUCUGCUCUUUUCCUGUUGAUUCAAAAAUAGUGGCCUUGCUUCCCUGCCAAGUGGUCACUGGAUUUACUUAACGGCUACGAGAACACCCUGGAGAUCUCCCGCCAUUCUUAGAAGUUAAAUCUUUCCUUUUGAUAGACAGAAACUGACUCAACAUGAUAGCAACUGUCCUUUCUUUACCCUUUCAGAACCACUGGAUAUUCUCAGCUCAUAGAAGGGAACAUUUCCUCAUGGGGCUUUCCUUUUUCUAAGAUACUUUUUCUGAGAGACAUUAUGCACAUGCCUAACUCUUUCAUUCUGAGUACAUCCUCUGAGCCACAGAGCAACUCAGAGAUGAUCAAGUUAGGCUGCCAUGUUCCGCAGAUAAGGAAACAGAGCUAGAGAUGAGGGAAAGUGUCGAUCAACUGAUUAUCUAGCAAUUUAGAGACAUGACUGGGAUGGCAUGGUGGAGAUAUACACAGAGUCAAGGAGAUAGUUAAGGGAGACAAAUCUGAGAAACAGAGAAACAUUACUUUUUCAAUACUUCAUCAAAAAUUGUCUUUAAGAAUUCAAAAUGUUCUGGAUACUUCAUUUUAAAAAAAUGCAUGAUUCAAUUUAUCAAAACAACAUUGAAAUCUCAAGAGGAACUCUUUCCAACUAAGACCUUCCUCUUCCUCCUUGUCCUUCUCUACUUCCUUCUUCUCUUCCUCCUCCUUCUCCUCCACUUCUUUCCCCUGUGAUUUUUCUUGUUUCCCCCUCUCUCUAUUUCCAUCCCAGUUGCGUAGACUCAGCUCCUGAUCAGGCCUGAUCUUCCCUGGUUCUCCGUCAAGAUGAUCCUCUGUAUUCUUUUCAGCUUUAGGGGUCUUUCCAUCCAACAAGUACCAUAGGCCACACCCUCUGAAUGUCCCCAUUGUUACCUACAUUGGCUCACAUUGAUCUUGUCCUGUCCUGACCACUACUCACAGGCAGUAGUAUCCUUCUCCUGAAUUCUCUCUAUGUCACAUUCCUUAACUUAGACUCUGGUGGACAGGGAAUAUGACUUAAUUUUUAUAGUGGCUUCAUUAUAAUAAGAUGUUGUUUUGUACUAGAAGCAGCUGCUAGGCUGGUACAUUAUCCUUCCAAAUGAGAAGCCUUGUUCUAUAGUAUCUGCUCUCAAAUGAUGUCACUAAGUGCGAAAUUGAAAUUGGAAGUAAUACCCAGAAUCAGGAAGCUGAAGCCUUCACGAGUCCACUCUGGCACAUCAGUGGUUGAUCCUAAUAACAAGUUCGUCACUUUAUAGGUGGACUGUGGCUGUGAGAAAGCUUUAGAUGGGAAGAGACAAAGUUUAAGUUUGUCAACAUUUAACAUAAAAUUUAAAUUAUUUGUCAAUAUAUUUCGUAUUCAUUCAUUUAAAACUUAAUGAGCAUUUGCUAACGUUUCCAGUAGUGAUUUGGUUCCUCCUUUCGUGGUACUUAAAGUGACCUGGGAAAAGGGAUAUUAAAGAAACAAACACAAAAAUUAAUUAUCUGAGUAUAAGCUAUAAUGUAUAUUAUAGAGAAAAGAGGGUGCCGAUAGAAUAUGAGCAAUGAAAUUUAAUUUAGAUUGGUGAAAUGAGAGUGAGUGGAUCAAAUAGAUUUCUUUAAGAAUUAACCCUUUCCUUGCCACCCAAAGGGCAGAGAAGUGGGAAUUCUAUUGGUGAAGGGAGGAGGAGCCUCAGAGGUAGGAAGAAUAUCUACAAAGAUCCUGGGCUGGAAAAGAACUUCCCUUGUAAGAAACUCAAACAAGAGCAGCUGGGGAGCAGUAAGGGGUGAGCUGCAGACAGGAGGAGUGGCUGGAAGCAUACUGGAUGUGACCAAACCAGGCCUCAUGAGCCAUGCUGAGGAGUUUAGAAACUUGAUGGGAAAUGAUUUUCUAUUUCAAACAGACCAUAAUUUGGAAGUGUUUGUGUUGUUUCUGUAUGGGAAAUAGAUUUGGGACUAAAGGACAGAAGGAUGAAAAAAGAGGAUUAAUAUUUUAGAGUAGAGCUGAUGUCUGACAGAGGCUUGGCCUAGCCUCCAGCUGGAUUCAACCUUUGAUAUUCAAAGAGGAAGUUCUCAUCUGCAAGCUCACAUUCAAGAGCUAUGAAACUAAGCUACAGACAAACUACCAAAAAACAUCUCCCACUGUUUUAAGUCAGUUUAUGAUUUUGAUUCAUCUUGCAUUUGUUCUCAGGUGUGUAGUCUGCAGAACGAGGCUUGGACAAACUUGGUAGGUAUUUGUAGUAUAGAAAGAGUAACAUUAAAUACAUUUUGGAGAUAAAAGCAAAAGAAUUUACUGUAUGUAAAUAAAGUUCCUAUUUACUUUGAUGGUUAAAAACUAAGUUACUAAAAUCUUUCUUUUCUUUUUAAUAUAUAUUUUGCAUAUAACAUAUAUGUAUACAUUGCAAUGUAUGAAUACAUAUAUACAUGAUGCCCAGGCUAUUCUUAAACUGCUAAGAUCAAGUGAUCCCCUUGUUUGAGCUUGCUGAAUAGCUAGGACUACAGAUCUCUGUCUUUACACUUUGUGGGGUAUAUUUUCCUUGAUAUAUUAUUUCUUGAAAAGGUCUCCCAAUGUAUAAAGAGAAGGUUGAGGUAGAUAUGGAAGGAGAAAAAAGUGAUUGAAAUAUCUUACAUACUUGUAUGAAAGUGUAAUAACAGAGCUCAUUAUUUUGUACAAUUAAUACACACCAAAAUAAAUAGAAAAAAAUGAACCUUUUAUAGUUAAAAAAGAAAUCAGAGGCAGCUAAACCAGUAGAGAAAAUGGUACAGACAAGAAGCAAGGUCAGGAAAACUGGUGCAUUACUAAGGAAGCCAAGGUGAGUGUUUUAAGAAGGCAGUGAGCAAUUGGGUUGAACCUGAAUGCUGGUUAAACAUUGAAGAGGGUAAGUACUGAAAACUUUCCAUUCGGUUAAGCAGAACAGAAGUCACUGGUGACUUCUAUAACUUGGGUGUUUGGGUGCAGUGGUUGUUGUUGAAGGCAAACUAGCAACAAUUUCAAGUAAUCAGAAGUGGCAAUGUUCUAGAGGAGUGUUUCUUAACCUGUGGGUCGAGACUCCUUUCACAUGUUGAAUGACUUUCAAAGGGGUUGCUUAAGAUCAUUGAAAAAUACAGGUAUUCACUUUCCCAUUCAUAACAGUAGCAAAAUUACAGUUAUGAAGUAACAAUGAAAAUAAUUUUAUGGUUGUGAGUCACUGUAACAGGAGGAACUGUAUUAAAGGGGCACAGAGUUGGGAAGGUUGAAAAUCAUUACACUAGAGAAAUCAUCCGAAGGAAGGACCCAAUAACUAGGGGAAAGUGGAAUCAACAAAGACAUGAUGUCACCACCCUCAGAACUAAGGAUUAGUUUACAUCAGUCUUGUGCAAGUUAAAUAAACAUGUCACUAGGCUACAUAUACAGACUUUUAAUAAUUUUUGUGUGUGGAUGUUUGGUUUACAUGUGUGUCUGUGUACCACAUGCAGGCCUGGUACCAGCAGAGGUCAGAAGAGGACUUGGAAUUCCCUGAAACUGGUGUUCAAAGAAUUGUAAGCUGUGAUGUGAGUGUUGUUAAUCAAACCUGGGUCCUCUGGGAGACCAGUUAGUCCUCUUAACAGAUGAGCCAUCUCUCUGACUCCUCCUAUUUCAAAAUUAUUGCUAAAAACACAUUUAUUCAUUUUGUAUAUGUAUGUGGGCAAAGAGCUGCUAUGUGAGGGUCAGAGGACAACUUGUUGGAGGAAGUUCUGUCCUUCUACCCUGUAUGUCCUAGAGAUCCACUGGACCACAGGCAAGAGCUUUUACCUGCUGAGCCAUUGGGAUGGCCUCUUACCUAUGACUUUUGUUUUGAGGCAGGCUCUUGCUCUAUUGGCCAGCCACGUCUUGAAGUUGUGAUCUUCCUGUGUCAGCUUCCUAAAUCAUUGGGAUUGUAAGCCUGUGCUACCAGUGCUGGCAGAAGUUAUGCUUUUUUUUAAUUAAGGAAAAACCAAGACAUAAUUAAGCAUAUAUCAAAGAUAUGUAGUAUUGAUAAUGACCAGGAGGAAUGGAAGCAAUCAAUGGCCUGAAACGUCAGAUGGGACAAGAUCUGAUCAAAAGAAAGAGUUAGCAUUUGAUAGUCUUCUCUUAACCAACAUAACAGCUUUCCAAAAGAAUGGCCCAAGGACAGGUGGGGUCUCCAGACUCCACGUUGGUUUCUUCUCAGUUGCAGAGAUUAGGAGUGAACUUAUUCUAAAGACUGUCUGGUGCUCAAAACAAAGCAAGUCUGUUUACUGUCGUUCGUCUGUCUUUUCCCAUUACUGAUUAUAGCACUGGAAUCUGGCUAUAAUACUGAGUUGAACAAGUAUAAAGUCACAUUGUUGGAGUAACAGGAGUCCACAUAAUAUCUCUAUGUAGCACACAGUUUGGGAAGGAAGGCCAAGAGUGUUGUGGAUGAACUAGUAGGUUCAACAGAGAGAAAAUGCAGGAUUCUCUUCUGAUGACCUUUGUUAGGGUCAUUAUCUUAGCAUGAGGAGAUCAGUUGAAGAAACUGGUCAUUUGAGAAGUGUGUUAGGGUUUGACAAAGAUAUCAUGAAGACUUAGAGGUAGUUUACUUUCCACCCCCUACACUGGAAUCCAGUCUAACUCUGCACUAAAAUCUUCACAUUUUCGCUCCUGAAUGUAGGAGAAACGGAGUUCAUUUCCAUGCAUGUGAAUAUGUGUAUUGGAUCACCAUUAUUAUCUGCUACUUAAGUUAGGGUCCAGAGCAGUUGAGGCGCUGCUGUAGUGUUUCCUUUUUCAACCCAAACCAUUUAGAGCCAGUAUUCCCUCUAUUGUCCUCCACCACUAACUGGAGCUUCUCUGAAUCCAGUGAUCACAUGUUGCAGAAAGUGGUCCUCUCAGCAAAACAGGUACCAUAACAUAAUUUCAUGGAAAGGCAUAGAAAUGGGUGGGUACUCAUCUGAGUACUCAGUCGUUCUUUCUAGCCACAUCUAUGCAAUCCCACCCUAAUUGCAGAGGAAAUUUGGGGGAAGGGUCAGAAUGUACAGACUGGAUAAGGUUAGUUGGGUAGAAGUUCAUCGAUAGAGCUACGAGGAAGCUAUUGUCCAUGCUGAGUAUACAUCUUCCAUAGCAGCUGAUCUAGGAUCACUCAGGCCCCUGCCAGUGACCACUCACCCACACUGUAAACCUAAUAAACUCAUUGGGUCUCCCUCACAUACUUUCUCUUUCUGACAAGUAGAACUCAGAAAGGAGAAGGAAUACAUACUUAAUAAUCUGUCACUAUUUGACUUUUAAAGAUUGUUUCUUUUCUAAUGCAAAAUGAUUCUGAUUUCCUUGAAGCAAUGAAGCCUGUGUUUGCCAAUGAAUUUGUGCCAUGAAUACUUUUAGUGCAUUGGAAAUGCUGCUGCUGCUACUGCUGCUGCUGUUGCUGCUGCUACUGCUGCUGCUGUUGCUGCUGCUGCUGCUUGCAGCGAUGUUCUUUGUGGCAUGAACUGUUUUAUUUUGGCAAAUGGAAGGUGGGAAUCUACUGUUGUUUAGCAUUCUCUCAAAAUAGCUGUCAGUCAACUAACGCUGAAUGCACUUACUUAAGGAACUGUUGAGAAGGCGAUGAGAGCACAUUCACAACAUGUAAUACAGAAACAAUAUCUUUAUAAAUAUAUGAAAUUGUGAUCAAACUAAUAAGUUUAAAAUUUAUGUGUCAUGUUUGCUUGUUUAGGUCCUUACCCAAAUGGGGAUAUAAGAGAAUGAAAAAAGAACAAAUGGACAGAAAGACAGACACAUAUGCAGAAAAGCUGGGCUAUGCACUCUCUGGCAGGGUAGCCCCUACUACUAUGCAACAGCUCAGAACCUCAGCUUCUCUAUUACGUACAGUGUAAUGGGAGGGUCAGCUUCUGUCCUUAGCAGAUCUCUCUAGGCAGCAGUUUCAGUCUGUAAGCAUCCGGGAGGAAGCUGCAACUGCUAGCUUUUGCAUGCACUGGCACCAUUCAGACUUUGACUAGAGGAAGGCUUUGCCAUCCCUCUGAGCCUCCCUCAAUGGGAAAGCUUUGCCACUUUCCCAUGGGUCUGGAUUGGUCUUUGACAUGGCCAUGGCCAUGUCAAACAUACACAUUCAUUUUUCUAUUCCUCAUAAAUGUACUCAAGGGUUCCUCGGCUCCCCACAGUGGUUUUCCUAAUUUUUGUUAAUAUAUUGAUUGCCAUAAGAAUACGUGUAUUUCAAUGAUGCCCCAUUUAACAAGCUGGUGAAAAGAGCUAGAAAGAAAUUUCUUGGAGGCCAACCCUAGUUGUAUGUCUAAGGAACAUUUCCACUGUGAGAUUUCAAGCAUCCCAUUUGUGCUUGAUUCUGACAGCCAUGUACAUUCACAGAACUAAGUGUUUUGGUCCAUAACAGGCUAUAUAGAGUGGUCUUCUUACAGGGUUAUGUUUCUUAAUAAUAUUGUAGUGACACUAGUUGGUUGUUCUAGUUUGACUCUGUUGCUCUAAUAAGCAUAACCAAAAGUAACAGGGGAGGAGGAAAAAACUUAUUUUAGCUUACAGGUUCUAAUCUUCAUGAAGGUAAGCCACGGCAGGAGUUUGGGAGUCAGGCAGGAGCCAUGGAGAAAUCUGGCACUAGCUUCUCUCUGGCUCACAUUCAGCUGUUUUUCUUAAGUCCAGGUCCACAGUAGGCCUGGCCCUCUUAUGUCAAGCAAUCAAGAAAACGCCCCACACAUGACCACAGGCCUAUCUUACAGAGGCAAUUCUUCAGUUGAGGUUUAUCUCCCCACAUGACUCUAGUUGAUGUCAAGUUGGCAGUAAAAAACAAUGCUGGUAUAAGUAUGCUUCAUGUUGUUCUCACAAUGACACAAUUGCCUGACCACUAAUUUCUCAGAACUUGCUCUGUCAUUAAGUGAUUCACAAUUAUAUUUAGAAACAAUCCACGGAAUGAAAGGAUUUUUCUCUAGUCAUGAUAAGCCCUCAUCGUGUAUGCCAAGAAUGGCUAUGUUUCUGUACUUACUCGUUGGUCUUGUUUAUUUCUUCAUGAUUCAGAGAUUGAAGGAUGAAACGAUGGUUUUGCAAUAAGAAGCAAUUAUGUUGUAGAAUUGCUUCUUGCUGGUUGACUUUAUAACCUAACGCAUCCCCUUUCUGAACCCAAGGCUGGAAAUCUGAAGAGUAAGCCAUACUAAUGUCAGGCAGAACACAUUUAAGUUAUUCCAUCUCUAGGCCUCCAAGGAAUCUGUUUACAGUAAAACUGGAAAUGCCCCCAUGGCUUUUUCAUGAAAGCUUUAAGUCAGCCCAUUUUCUAGAUCUGAAGGCCAAGAGAUUAUCAAGAAGCCAAUGAAACAGAAGAUUUUGCUCAAGUGUAUUCAUUCAUUCAGGACUAGGCCUUAAGGGACUACUAUGAGCACUUAUUCAUGUGGCCCCACCUGCUCUUCAUACAGACACAAAAAGAGCCUGCAUUUUGUCAUCUUCAUCAAGGAACUCGUCAGCGAAUGGAUAGGCUUAAGGCACGAAUGUCUAAGAUGGAUUACUGGGUGAUAUGAUCCAAACGUAAGCUUUUCUCCUUGUUAUUAUGCUCCUUUCUUAGUCUUGAGGAAUUACUGAUAGACAAAUACUGCUGUAGUGAGAAAAAUGAAAGGUUGGGUAUUAGACAGGCUGUUACGACCUUGGUUAAGUCUACUUGGGCUUCAGUUUCCUGGUUUGUAAAAAGAAAAUGAUCAUCAUUGCAGCUGUUUGAAGAUUACAAUAGAUAUAGUUCAGUGUCUGGCCUAAUGUCAAGUUAAUAUUUAGUCCAUUUAUUGAUGUUUUUCCCAUAGAAGAUAAUGAACAAUAGCUACCAUUAUGCUCAUAUUAAAAAAUAUCAUCUGUCCUAGUUAGUUUUGCUGCCAACUUGACACAAGUUCAGAUUGUAUGUGAAGAGAGAGCUUCAAUUAAGGAAUUUUACAGAUUGGAUUAGUCUGUAGCUGUGAGAGUCUGUCUUGAUUGAUGAUUGAUGUGAGAGGUCCCAGCUCACUAUGGGUGGCACCAUCCCUAAGCAAGUAUAAGAUAUAUAAGAAAACUAGCUAAGCUUGAGUCAAUGAGUCAGCUAGUUAGUAGGUUUACUUCUCGCUGCCUGUUUCCAGAUUCCUGCCUUGAGCCUUGAGUUCCUGUCCUGAAUUUGCUCAAUGAUGGAUUGGGUCUUGAAAGCAUAUUCUGAAAUAAACUCCUCUGCAAGUCGACUUUUUAAAAAAUCACUUAUUUGUUUCUAUGUGUGUAGAUGUUUUGCCUUCAUGCAUGUCUGUGCACUACAUGAAUACCAGAUGCCAACAGAAGCCAGAAGAGGGCAUCAAAUCCUCUGGUACUGGAAUUAUAGACAGUUGUGAACUGACAUGUGGAUGUUGAGGACCCAAUCCAGCUCCUCUGGAAGAACAGCCAGUGCUCUUGACCACUGGGCCACCUUUCCAGCCCCCAAGUUGUUUCUGGUCAGUGUUUCAUCACAGUAACAGAAGUCAAACUAGGAUGUGAUCAUUACAAUAACAAUAAUACCACUGCAGCCAUUAGGGUAGCUUCCAUUAGGACAGGGUCAUAUCCUAGUCAUGUUUGACUAGGAGUCAAAAUUACUUUAUAAUUCCAUCAUUGGGUAAGAUAAUAUAAAUAUAUUAAUAGCCUGUGAAUAUUAAUCUGCUCUUUGUGGAAAAAGCAAGCCAAAAAGGAAGCAAAGACAUUUAUGAACGAAGUUGUCCCUAUCUCUAAUUGUAUGCUUAGAGCCACACACCCUCCUUCCUGAACAUUCACCUCUCAUGAGACCAGAGCAUUUAGAUGUGUCAUAUUCAGGAGGCCGUGUCAUGUCCAGAGAGAGUAAUGUGAUUACUGCAAACAUCCUUACUAGUGUGACAUAUUAUUACUAGGUUCAAACCACAUACUCAAGGGAGAUUAUAAGACGAAUUUCACUAAUUUGUUGAAACAUCCAAAACACUAAACCAAAUUGAGAUUUUCUACUCUAUCCACCCAUGCCUCAACUGAGCUUUGUGGACAGACCUGACUGGGACAACAAUGGAAUGAAGAAAGGAUAGACAGCCACAUGUACAGAAAGUCUAAGAUUGAUCAAGUGGGACAUUCAAUAUGACGAAGGGACACCAGCAGCCUGGAAACGCAGUGCCUUCAUUAUAUUCCACUGAGCAAAGAGGCAGGUUUAUUAUAAACAGCUGAGUGAGGAAGAAAAAUGCAAGGAGCUGUUGGUGAAUCAUGGGCCCUUCCUCUGAAGUUCCAGAGAACCACUGAGGCCAGGCAAUGUGUGACAGUGUUGAAAUUUUUGCAAGAAUAGGGUCCUGAGAGGGCAAGAGACCUGGAGAGGCUAUGGCAUAAAACUUUGAAAGUGAAGCCUGGGUUGUAGUGGUGACACCAAAAUGGUCAUGCCAGAACUGUGAGACAUCUUUUCAAGAGAGCUGUAUACAUGGAGUGGAACCAGACCAAGACAAGCUCACAUAUUAGACUGUUUGGUCCCUGGUUGAGGAUGUUGUUUGGGGAGGCUAUGGAAACUUUAAGAAAUGGAGCCUGGCUGGAGGGAGUAUGGAGGGCAUAGGCUUUGAGAGCUCAUAACCUCACCUGGCUUCAAGUUAGUUCUUUCUGCUUUCUGUGUGUGGAAAUGUGAUUUCUUAGCUUCCUGUGCAGGCUGCCAUGCCUGGUCUGCCAUUGUGGACUCUCUAUCUAAAGCCAUAAAGUAAAAUAAACUCUUUCUUCCUUAGGUUGCUUGUUGUCACGGUAUUUUAUCAUAAAAACAAUAAAAAGCAACAAACCACUACUAUCACCACCAACAACAAACUCACAUAAACCACAAAGAAUAAACCAGAGUUAAGAGUCAAAAUAAUGGUCAGACUUUCUAAUCUCAAAUAUGACCAGAAGAUAGUGCCAGGUCCCCUGGAACUGGAAUUACAAACAGUUGUGAGCUCACAUGUAGGUGCUGGGAAUUGAAUGGGGUCUUUUGGAUGAGCACCCUGUGUUCUUAAAUGCUGAACCAUCUCCCCUGUCCCUCCCUCCAUCAUUUUAAGCAGGUAAAACAGAGUUCAUUUGUUCUAGUGUCCUUGUCAACUCAUUCUAAUACUCCUGUCAUCAGCCCUUAGUUUCUUUUGAAUGAGAUUCUGUCUCCACAUUUAUUUUUAUUGUCCUCCUUCAAAUGGCUGGCCAUUUUAAAUUGGAUGCCAGGCAUUAUGAAUUUUUUUUUAUUUCAAUAGAAAUUCAUUGCAUCCAAAAUGUGGUUAAAUGGCUUGAAACUGGUUUGGUCCUUUUGAGUCUCCCUUAUUUUAUGCAUUAGUGUAGAACACCAAUUUAUAGAGGCCAAAUAUUGCCUCCUGGCUGGUCAAACUACUCUGUAGUACUCUAUAGAGUGGCCUAUAAAUUACAAGGCUUAUAGUUUUGUCUAGUAGGCACAAAUUAUUAUUUUCAGCUUUGCAAAACGCUCUUCUGAGAUCCAGCAAUCCCUUAGUGACAUCUUAUUGAAAGCUACUCAGCGUCUCAAGCCCAGAAACGGUGAUUUGGUUAUAGUAAAACAUAGGCUAAACAUAGGAAGAGUCCAGCUCUCCCCUGCCUCCAUCACUGCCAGGCUGAACUUCCUGAACAUGAGGGAGGUAAAUAGGAAAUCGCAUGUAAAUUUAACCAGAGUCCUGUUUGUGUUGGCUGCAAGCAUUUUUGAUGUCAAUACUCACUUCAUAGAACACUGGAAUCUAUAUUUUGGGGUCCACUUAUGUAUUAGUUACCUAUUAUAGGCAGUUUGCUAUUUUGAUUUUGGGGGUAUUUGUUUGUUUUGAGACAGUGUUACUCUAUGUAACCCUGGCUAGCCUGGAACUCCCUAUGUAGAUGAGGUUGCCUUUGAAUUUAUAGAGAUCUGCCUGCCUCUGCUACCCAAGUGCUAGGAUUAUAGGCGUAUGCCACCACACCUAACAUCAGUUUGCUCUUUUAGGCUUUUUAUAGUGCUUGCAAAGUCUGAAGAAUAUACAGUGCAGACACUCAGGUCCCCGUAUCACAGGUGGAUUCAACCAACACCUGGUCAAAAGCUGCAUCUGUGGCAAAUGUAGAGUUGUCUUUAUUACUCUCUCAAUGAUACAGCAAGCACAUCAGCUACUGACCAAGUGUUUGCAUUGUGUAAAGUAUAAGUAUCCAAAGACGGUUUAAAGUCUACCAGAAGCUAUAGUGGGUCAUAGGAAAAGGUGGUAGCAUUUUAUGCAAGGGACUCAGGCAUUGCUGGGUUUUGGUGUCCCCUGCAUAGCAAGGGAUGACUCUAUACCACGCCUCAUUCUUUCCUCCUUUUCUUUACUCUUUUCCUGACCUUGGAUUUCCCUAUAUAUACUCAGAUAUACACAGAGCUUGUCAGUGCGCACUCAAGUGGCACAGUUAGACAUCCAUACUCUUGCUUUGGGGCUCUUUUAUUGCUAACAGCAACUGCCUGUAGUUAACAUAAGUAAAUAAAUAAAAAAGCCAAGAUGGGGCUCCUGUUGUACUGAUUCAGUAAUGUCCUUCUACUCUCUUGACUUAACCUUUCCUGCCUUCAUCCAAACUCCUACUGCCAAAUACAUGACCAUCUUCCCUUGUUGUCCUCUAGUGUUUAUGUAUGGAAUGCGCUUUACCUAUUGGGACAGUCCAGCCAAUCUGUAUGUAUAUGUGUGACCUAAGAAGAUAAAUCGUAGACACCUUUGUCCCUUCUCUGGGGAUGAUGAUUCUGGUCACAACUAGCAGAAGGAAUUGAGUUGUAGGGAAGCUUUGACAGAGCCAGAAGGAACAAAUGGGAGCAGAUCAGUGCCAGGUCUUUGGGACCACUGCCCAGCGAGCAUGGCAUGAACUCCUAUAUGCCAAUUAGCUUUUAGCACCAGGUCACAAGCAAAGCAACAUAAAGAUGAGAAAGACAAAGAGCACAGUGAGCUGCAGGAACCAUGCUCACCAGUGGCAUCAGUACUUACUCAUCUAUGUGUUUCCUGCAUAGGAAGAAAUGAAUCUACUCAGAAUUUCAACAUCAGCUGUUGCAUACAAGGAACAGCCUGCAAAUUUACUUGGAUGGUUAUCAAUGUUUCUUUGGAUCUUGCUGUUCCCCAGCUGACAGCAGAGCUUCCUCCUUAUGUUAACAAGUAUUAGGGCUUCUCACAGCUGCCAAGUGAAAGCAAACAUGAAGGGGACUUGUUUCUCACAAUUGUAGUCAAAGGCUUUGGUUCUUGGGAGAAAGCACCUACCUUUCUAAUACCCUAGGUUUGUAAGUUGGUGAAGUAACCUGGCCUGAGGCCUGGGAUAACAGGUCUAUGCUAUGGUUCAUUACAGACUGGGAACACCCAAGCACGAAGACAUAGAGGAGCAGUGCUGGAGGGAAAUCCAUGGGGAAAGGCAUAUCUGAGAAGAGGACACAAUGUAUAUGUUUAGGGGUAGUCAGCCUUUGAAUUCAAGCUUUGCACUUAACUGAGUUAUCAAAGACAGAUUAGACCAUCUUCUCUCUGAUUCUGGUUUCCUUAUUUAUACAACAGAUAUUCUUGUUUUACUUCAGAGACUUAGUUAAAUUGAUUAAUAUUAACAACUACUGUUUAUGAAGUAUGAUAUAGCCAAAAUUGUAUGUGUCAAAUCAGAAGCCAUGGCACUUGACAGAUACUAACUCUUGUUAAUGUAAGCAGAAUUGGGCUUUAGUGCAUGGAACAGCUACACAGAAUAGGCGGAUGAGUCACAAUGCUGGUGCCACAAGGCUCCACAGGCAAAGACGGCAGAAGAAUCACACAUCCAGAAGUUUGCCAAAGCGGUGUCCCUCAUCCCAUGUUGUUGUCUCUGAAAGUGGGAGAGGAGGUACCCCAACUCUCCCAGCAGAAAUUCUAUAGUCAUCCUACUUUUAUGAGCUACCAACCUCUGAUUCCAUGUUUUGGGACAUGUGGAUGCUCAUAUCUGCAGUUAGGAUCAUGUUUAUUGUAGGAUAGCUAAAGGUCACCCUAUACCUGUAAAAGAGUCUCUGGUGAGUAGGAAAGUCUACCUCACAACAUUAGGAAUAUCAGUGAGAAAUUAGAGAACUAUUAAUUGGCUUAGGACACUACCAUGAUGGUUACUCUUACUUAAGUACUUGAUUACAUCUAGAAUUAACUAAAAUCCCAGUGUGUGAGUAUAUCUGUGAGGUAUUUCUUCUUUACUAAAUCAUUUGAAGUGGAAAGACCACUUUCAAUCCAGAUUUUUUGAGGUGGGAAGAUUUACCUGUAAUAUGGACCAUGCCUUCUGCUGGCAUCCUGUAUAAAGGCAACAGAAGAAGGAAGCUUGUUCUCUGUGACCAUUCACUCUCACUGGCAACUCCAUUCCUUCACUGUCAUUAGAAUCUACUUCUUUAGGAUUCCAGACUAUACCGAAGAGCAGCUGAGACAUCCAGCCUAGAGGUCUGAACAACUACUGACUUCUCAGAUUUUCUGUUGUUAGACAGCUGUUGUUGUAAAAUUAUUUUUAAGAAAAUGGUGUCUUUUACCCCGCACUAGGUCCUGCACCGCUCUGCCCCAUGAUAUCUGGUGGAUAUGUUAAUCUCAGUCAGCGAAGCCUCUCACUCGCUUUGCUCUAUCCCAUAUCACAUUGCCGAUGGCCUCUCUCUGAGUCUGGCAACAAUCUCUCUAUCCAUCUAGUUCCCAAAGCAGGCUGCCACCAUGUCAGAAAUAUACAUCUCAAUUCCAUGGCCGCUUAGUGUCCCAGACUUCACAAACUCUCUUAAACUUAAUUCGCCACAAGAAAGAACACACAACACAAAAACCUCUGAUCCAAUUGAUAAGAUAUAAUUGCCCACCUAAACAUAUAAAGUCCUAUACACAUCCAUCCCUUAAGAACAUUCAUAACAACCUGUAAAGGUACAGAGUGGAAUCUAUACAUCUGCCUGCGUGUUCUCUCGGCAGCUUCCUCUCUAGUCUCCUUCUGUUCCAGUUUCCUCCUCUUCUCUUAAACUUUUCUCCGACCCAUGUUUCCUUCUGGUCCAAUGACAGGCCUCAUUCUAUCUGGUACCUGCCUUUACCUGUAUGACAUCCUACAGACAGGCAUUGUUGGAGUAGCAUGUAAGCUGUUCUAAUAAAUACCUCCCCAUGCUUUUCCUAUAGAGAACCUUGAGCAAUAAAUGCACCAAAGAAAAAGGAGAAAGAUUAUUAUUACACUAAAUGAAAGAACAACCAGGCUAAACCAUACAAGGCUAAACAAACCCAGAGUAUGUACAAAGUAUUGAUUAAAUCUGGUGAGUUCCUGUAAGUGUAAGGUAUUGAAAAUAUAUAGAAGACAAAAAUUUCCUUUACAGGGGGAAAGCACUCUGUCAGUUUCUCCCUCCACUGCCAGGUUCUUCAUUGACUACAAACUUAUCCCUCCACAGCUCAAGCACCAUUUGCACCACCUUUUUCUCUCAAUAAAUCAUUACUCGUUGUCUCCCAAUGGUGCUCAGGGACAAUACCAAGGUGGCAGCUGAUACACCAAUCCUUCAUGUGUGAUGUCUCCGAGGGAAUAUUUGUUUCCAAGAGCAAACCAAGUAUUUAAACUCUGAAGGAAUGGCAAAGGUGGGCAUAAUAUUUUGUGGCAGAGAACGUUGUUAGCACACUGUAAAAUUAUACACGAGAAAACUUCUUCCUAUAGUGCCGACCAGCCUGCUAAAGGAUUUGUCUUUAUCUAUUUUCUAAAACAGGACAUUAUAAUAUAAACUGGGUAAUUUAAAAAAGAAAAGAAACUUAUUUCUGAAGGCUGUGGAAUUCAAGAUUAAAAGUUGAAUUUGAGGGUUUAUUUAUUUGCUUAUUUAUUUAUUUAUUUAUUCACUUAUUUUUGCCUUUUGGUACAGCCCAUGUUGGCCUUGAACUUGAGAUCUUCCUGUCUUGCCCUUCUAAAUGCUGGGAUUACAGAUGUGCUCCACCGUACCUAGCUGAGGUCCUUCUUGCUUUAUCAUAGCCUGACAGAAGACAUCGCAUAAGAGAGGGAGGGAAGGAAGGAAAGGACAGAGGAAGAGAGAAAAAGAAGGGAACAAAUUUUAUUACAAACUUACUUCAAGACAGUAACAUCAGUCUACUCAUGACUUCAGAUUUCCUUGUGACCUAUUCAUGUCAUAAUGGUCCUGGUUCUUGACACCAUGAUAUCACUUCAAUUUUAACAUCAAAUUACAGUGGGUCCCAUUCUUCUGGCUGACUGGCAGUAAAUGAUGCAGAUCUGUCCACAGUCAGAAGGCUUCUUAAGGUCACCACUAAGUACCCACAUUUGUAGUCACUUUUUACACCAUGUUCCUUCUGCCCCACGAAGAUGCAGCCUCCCUGAAAAACCCAGUUCACCAUGUUCACUCUUCUCUCAUAGGUUAAAAAUAGCACACUGUUCAAUGACCUCAAUAAUUUAGAAUUCAUGAAUAAAUAACUUGCCCAGGAGGCUACAUUGGGGCUUCUAUUUUUACCUAGAGUCUCUCACCAAGCAAAGUGACCUCUCAAGGAUCCCACAGUGACACCCAUUGGUCUUCUGGCUUCCUGGAGAACGGCCCCGGGAGAGUGUCAGUACAGUCUUUUCUCAAGUACUCCAAUGAACUGAUAGGUACUAGACUUCACACUGAGCAACCAAUCCAAAAUUCAAGCAUAUCUGCCUUGCUACAAAGUUUAGACAUUGCCCUGAAGUGAACAGUUUUCCUCAGUUAUGUACUUUGACCAUGACAUUUCUUCAAGUCAAUGAAACCAGAUAACCAUAUAGAAAGAAGCCUAUGAAACCCUGAGCUAAAAUAUAUCAUUCUUACUUAAACUUAAAUUGUUGCUCUCGGGUAUUUGUGACAGCCAUAAGAGUCUGACUGACAUGUAUAUGUGUAUGUGUGUGUGUGUGUGUGUGUAUACAUAUAUAUAUAUAUAUGUAUAAUCUUCAAUGACCAUCACUUUCUCCAUUUCUCUUUUCUGAUAACUUAUGACAAAGACAUUAGGAGUAAAUGUCCUUAAAUUCUUAAUUAGUGCUCUAAGCAUCACUAAGUCAGAAUGCCCACCAUGAUCUAUCUUACUGUAUGAAACAAUUGUAAUGUGUUCAAGAUGAAAGUAUACGAUAAUAAUUAGCACCAAUCAUCAAAUAGCUCUUCCCUUGUCUUUGAGUUUUUUGGGGAAGCUGCUCAAGAGUCUACUGAGCUCUGAGCUUUGACUCAUGAACAUAUCUUCAACCAACAUGAUCAAAAGAUAACUCCUAUUAAAAUUACUCAGAAAGGCAUAGUUCGUUAAUGCAUUUAUAAAUAUGUAUAAAGAAUCUUCUGUGAGCUAGAUUUUUAUUGAAAAACUUUAAAGGGUUCUGGUUUUGAAAUUUCGUAUUUCCAAGACAACGUUAAAAUUGCUUUAGAAGAUUCAUUGGAUUUUUUAGGGUAGAGACAUGAAGGGGCCACUUCCAAUAUCAUAUGAAAAAUACUGGUAAGAAUAUUAACGGCAUAUGCUGGUGUGGUGAGUAAAUGUGUCAGAGAGGAAAGGGGGGGCUCUUGAAAAUCAUGAGAAAUGUGACUGAUGAGCAAACCAGACCAACUUGUCAAAUACCACAAAACCAGGCAGGGGAGGUUCCAGGUUGGUGCCAAAGAAGAAAAAGCUGUUGUCACCAUCUGUAGCUAGGGCAGGUAGUGAAGAAUGUAGUUUCUUUGGGGUAAAAAAUCAGUGGCCUUCUUGAGAGUAAAACUUAUAAGCACAAUUUAAAGAAAGCCAACAAUUCCCAUCAGAGACAAAAAGUAACCUCCCUGUGGCCUAGAUGCUAAGCACAGGAACAGGACUGACUGCAAGGCACCCCUCUUCCCGUUCGCAGCUCUCAUUCUCCAUAGCCCUCAUCUCUCAGAUCCACAAUGAUGUGGGUUGCAAGAUGUUCUGAAGGCUGCUAAUAAGAUGCAGCAAUAAUGUAUUCAGCUCAUAGCCUUCGCUAGAAACCACACUAUCCACCUCCCGGCUGCAUCUCCAAGGUGCCAUGGGGGGCAGGUACAGGAAGUCUGAGGCGGGCAAGGGAGAAAACAAGCCUCACCUAGUCAGGGCAUCCCUUCUCCUCAGGCCUUCAGAGGACAUGGCUUCUCAUUGACAAAAUCAGAGCCAGGCAAGGAAGAAGACAGGAAUGGCUUAAGGAUAAAGAAGGGUUAAACAAGGAGAGGUGUAACUAUGCAAAGGGCACCUGAUGAAUAACUGGCAUUUACAUGCAUCGCACAGAGAACAGAACAAGCCUGUGAUACUUGAUUUCCUCAUGGGCCAACUUGCUUCUGAAGGAUGGGAUUCAUGACAAGCCAAGCCACCAGAAUGCUAUGCUACUUCCAAAUGUGUGGCACAAGGAUUAUUUUCAGCUGAUUAUUUCCCACAGUGGGGGCGUGUGUGUCCCAUUUGAAUACACUGGUGGUUUACUCUGCCUGUCAGGAAAAGGGAGCUGGCCCGGUCACUAGAGUCUUAACCAGUGGUGAAGGCUGCAAACUAGUAACUUUUCCUUUGAUUUCUGUCCCUUUUUACCUUUCACUUUUCCUUCCUAGGCUCAGCAGAGAAUAAUAUUUAAGCCUGAACUCCAAGGUGGUUCCUCCAAAUUUACUCUUGGACAUGUCCCUGCCAUCCCUGCUGUUCCUGCCUGCACAUGGUAUUAUGCCGCUCACCUGCUCUUGCUGAUUUGUCUGUUGGCAUUCAGAGCCCUAGAUAAAAACUUCAAAGCUUAGAAAGCUGUUUGCCCUUGCUUGCUAGUGCAAGGACUGUUGAUAGGCCAGGUACUUAAGGAGGUGGCUAGGCCCUGAAAGCUGCCUGUCUGCCUCUAUAGGACAGCUGGAACCAGUGUUUCUUUGGAAUGGGCUAAGAUAAGCCACACCAGCAGAAGGUACUAGUUAGCUCUCCCAGGUCCUUCCUAAACACAGACUCAUGCCUUUUUUUAGUUGUUAAAUGAAGUGAGUUCAAUUUUAUUGGACUAGUUGGGUCUGGUAGGUCUGUGUGAGUUUUGCGACUCCUGUCCUCUCAUCAUCCAUGUCUGGCAUUCCAUAGGUCUGCUUAGCUCAAAAGACAAAACCAAACCAAAGAUCAUGGACGAAUGAAAACCCAUAUCUGACCAUCCCAGGAUACCUGCGCCCUUCUCUUUGAUUCUGCAGUAUGUUUAGUCUGAGUUGCACAUUUAAGCCCUCAAGCUGACAUUAGUUUGUAUGCUCUAUGUUUGGUCAAGUAUUGUUUCUUAAUCUAAAUUUGUUGCCAGUUUAGCACUGCAGGAGCAAUACUUUUAAACUUUGAUAUUUUCUCCUAGAACCCUCAGCAGGAUUCAGGGGUUAAAGUUAAAAAAUUGUCAAAUAAUUACAUGUAAGAUUCAACUUUCAUUGAGCAUCUAUCAUGUGUGAGUGCUUUAGUAUCUUUGCUCUCAAAGACAAGCAUUUCAGUACAAAGUCCAUCCGAUAAUUGAACAUUUCAUUUGUCAUGGAUGCUUGUUGGAUACUUAUGAUAGAAAAACCUCUAUUAAAAGCAGUGUUGAAGUCUA